AUACGGUGAAACUGCGAAUGGCUCAUUAAAUCAGUUAUCGUUUAUUUGAUAGUACCUUACUACAUGGAUAACCGUGGUAAUUCUAGAGCUAAUACAUGCUAAAAACCUCAACUUCGGAAGGGGUGUAUUUAUUAGAUAAAAAACCAAUGCCCUUCGGGGCUCCUUGGUGAAUCAUAAUAACUUAACGAAUCGCAUGGCCUUGCGCCGGCGAUGGUUCAUUCAAAUUUCUGCCCUAUCAACUUUCGAUGGUAGGAUAGUGGCCUACCAUGGUAUCAACGGGUAACGGGGAAUUAGGGUUCUAUUCCGGAGAGGGAGCCUGAGAAACGGCUACCACAUCCAAGGAAGGCAGCAGGCGCGCAAAUUACCCAAUCCCGACACGGGGAGGUAGUGACAAUAAAUACUGAUACAGGGCUCUUUUGGGUCUUGUAAUUGGAAUGAGUACAAUUUAAAUACCUUAACGAGGAACAAUUGGAGGGCAAGUCUGGUGCCAGCAGCCGCGGUAAUUCCAGCUCCAAUAGCGUAUAUUAAAGUUGUUGCAGUUAAAAAGCUCGUAGUUGAACCUUGGGCCUGGCUGGCCGGUCCGCCUCACCGCGUGUACUGGUCCGGCCGGGCCUUUCCUUCUGGGGAACCGCAUGCCCUUCACUGGGCGUGUGUGGGAACCAGGACUUUUACUUUGAAAAAAUUAGAGUGUUCAAAGCAGGCCUUUGCUCGAAUACAUUAGCAUGGAAUAAUAGAAUAGGACGUGUGGUUCUAUUUUGUUGGUUUCUAGGACCGCCGUAAUGAUUAAUAGGGAUAGUCGGGGGCAUCUGUAUUCAAUUGUCAGAGGUGAAAUUCUUGGAUUUAUUGAAGACAAACUACUGCGAAAGCAUUUGCCAAGGAUGUUUUCAUUAAUCAGUGAACGAAAGUUAGGGGAUCGAAGACGAUCAGAUACCGUCGUAGUCUUAACCAUAAACUAUGCCGACUAGGGAUCGGGGGGUGUUAUCAUUUUGACCUCCUCGGCACCUUA
rnacentral:rRNA from 2 species